rnacentral:rRNA from 1 species
CGAUAGCGCACAAGUAGAGUGAUCGAAAGAUGAAAAGCACUUUGGAAAGAGAGUUAAACAGUACGUGAAAUUGUUGAAAGGGAAGCGCUUGCAACCAGACUUGCGUGUCGUCGAUCAUCCGGGGUUCUCCCCGGUGCACUCGGCUUCACUCAGGCCAGCAUCGGUUUCGGUGGUUGGAUAAAGGCCUUGGGAAUGUAGCUCCUCUCGGGGAGUGUUAUAGCCCUCGGUGCAAUGCAGCCUAGCCGGGACCGAGGACCGCGCUUCGGCUAGGAUGCUGGCGUAAUGGUUGUAAGCGACCCGUCUUGAAACACGGACCAAGGAGUCU